rnacentral:rRNA from 1 species
AAUAUUGCGCAAUGGGGGGAACCCUGACGCAGCCAUGCCGCGUGAAUGAAGAAGGCCUUCGGGUUGUAAAGUUCUUUCGGUAAUGAGGAAGGGAUGUUGUUAAAUAGAUAGCAUCAUUGACGUUAAUUACAGAAGAAGCACCGGAUAACCCAGUGCCAGCAGCCGCGGUAAUACGGAGGGUGCGAGGGUUAAUCGGAAUAAAUUGGCGUAAAGGGCACGCAGGCGGACUUUUAAGUGAGAUGUGAAAGCCCCGAGCUUAACUUGGGAACUGCAUUUCAGACUGGGAGUCUAGAGUACUUUAGGGAGGGGUAGAAUUCCACGUGUAGCGGUGAAAUGCGUAGAGAUGUGGAGGAAUACCGAAGGCGAAGGCAGCCCCUUGGGAAUGUACUGACGCUCAUGUGCGAAAGCGUGGGGAGCAAACA